GCUUUGGGGAGGUGCAAAUGACCUUUGAUCCAGAGAUUUCCGAAUGGGACAACCCAAUAUCUUGAAGAGGUAUUAUCCAACGUUGUUGGAGGCUAACGCAGGGAACUGAAACAUCUUAGUACCUGCAGGAAAAGAAAAUAAACAAUGAUUC
rnacentral:rRNA from 1 species